rnacentral:rRNA from 1 species
UACGGAGGGUGCAAGCGUUAUCCGGAUUUACUGGGUUUAAAGGGUGCGUAGGCGGGCCUUUAAGUCAGUGGUGAAAUCUCCCCGCUCAGCGGGGAAACUGCCAUUGAUACUAUUGGUCUUGAAUUUAGUUGAGGUGGGCGGAAUGUGUCGUGUAGCGGUGAAAUGCUUAGAUAUGACACAGAACACCGAUUGCGAAGGCAGCUCGCUAAACUAAUAUUGACGCUGAGGCACGAAAGCGUGGGGAUCAAACAGG